UACGUAGGGGGCAAGCGUUAUCCGGAUUUACUGGGUGUAAAGGGAGCGCAGACGGAGGAUUAAGUCUGAAGUGAAAACCCUCGGCUCAACUGAGGGAUUGCUUUGGAAACUGGUCAUCUUGAGUGCUGGAGAGGUAAGCGGAAUUCCUGGUGUAGCGGUGAAAUGCGUAGAUAUCAGGAAGAACACCGGUGGCGAAGGCGGCUUACUGGACAGUAACUGACGUUGAGGCUCGAAAGCGUGGGGAGCAAAC
rnacentral:rRNA from 1 species